UACGGAGGGUGCGAGCGUUAUCCGGAAUUACUGGGUUUAAAGGGUGCGUAGGCGGCUAUGUAAGUCAGGAGUGAAAGUUUGCGGCUCAACCGUAAAAUUGCUUUUGAUACUGCAUAGCUAGAAUUAGGAUGAGGUCAGCGGAAUGUGGCAUGUAGCGGUGAAACGCAUAGAUAUGCCAUAGAACACCAAUUGCGAAGGCAGCUGGCUAGACCUGGAUUGACGCUGAGGCACGAAAGCGUGGGGAGCGAACAGG
rnacentral:rRNA from 1 species